AUGUACACAAAAGAAAAAAGCUAAACAAUCAAAUCAAUCAAAUAUCCACUUGCUUAAACUAAGUUUAUGGGUAAAAAUAUAUUAGUUCUCAUGGAAAUAAGUAAUUGAGUAAAUACUGAUAAGGUGGAUGAUAUGUAUAUAGUAGAUAAGAAUACUUCUGUCAUUGCACUCAGUUGAACGGUUACGACUAUUUAUAACUAUCCACGCUUUGCUACGCUCAUAAAUGACUUCUAUUUAAUUACCAUUAUACGUUUUCUUCGAAGUUCUGAUAAGAUUAGGACUAUAGUUAAUUUGUUUAUUUGGUUUCUUAUCGCCGCUCACUUGCCAGCCCAAUCUGGUGCUCCCUUUAUGACCAACGUAAUGUAAGAGUAUACAUAAAUAACUGCUUUGUGCUAUAUCUAAAGAGUCAUAUAUUGAAUGGAGACUUUAUCUAAUGUCACAUACUUUCAGUAAUAUUAAAUUCCUGUGCGUGGAAAUAAUAUUAUUCAAAUUUAGGUGCUGAACUAUUCAGUUUGACUUAGCAGUUCGUUGAUGAAAGUUGUGUGUGUCCACUGGAAACUCCAGUAUUGGGGUCCUACGAGGCAGUACCAAAAAAUGUGAUUCCUGUGGAUUCUUGGGUGAUCUACAACAUGACCCAGUAGAUUUCGCAAAACGUGUGUGACACGGUUAAAAUGGAUUUGGCAACAUCGCAUCGGAACUGCAGUUUAACUCAACAAAUUGCUACAACGCUGAAAUGACAAAUAAAAGCAUCUGUUAUUUCUUUUUUUCAAAUUCCGAUCUCCAGGACAUUUUAAAUAACCUUGAAUUAUAUAAUAAUUCAUCCUUAAAAGUUUUUAAAUACGCUUGAGAUAUCGAGAGUGUUUGCGCUAACAAGAAAUCUACAAAAGUUUAAUAUAUGCUGAAAAUUAUUUUAUUUCCUCCUUGCUAAGAAUACACGUUUUUAAAUGAUCUUAGUUGAUAAACCUUUUUAACUUUUUUGUUUUUCGAACACGAUUCGGAUGAUUUAUCGUUAAAUUCUGCAUUCAUAGUCGACAAUUAAUAUAUCCUUGCCGAAGAACGAAGCAAUCGUUUAUCGAAAAUUGGGCUUCUUAACUCAACUGCCAGUGGUUUAAAUAAUUUGAAUAAAUUUAUCGAUAGCAAACAUAGUUGACAAAUACUAUAUAUGAAAAUAUGUAUACUGAAAGAGCUUAACUAAGAAGUUGACGUUUAUAUUCCUGACAUUGUCAAAAUAUUUUUGUUACUCAAGUCUUUAAGUCUUUUUGAUAAAUUUAUCAACAGUUGACAAAUACUAUAUACUUAAAUAUGUAUACAUAUUUUAAGAAAUUAGUUAAGAUUAAGAGUUGGCGUUUAUAUUCCUGCACAUUGGCAAAAUGUUUUCAGUGGUGUACUUGAAAAACUUAUAAAAUCCAAAAAGCUUUAAUAAUUUUGCAGCUGACCCUUAGCAAACUUUGAAAGCGGUUCUGUUCUGUAAAAAAUUGUCAAGGAUCUUGCACAAAUCGCUUUUUUUCACGAAAUAAUUUUUUUUUUUAAUUAUUUAUUUUGUAAAGAGCUUUAAAGCUUCCUAAAAUAAUUAAAUUGACAAACUCCUUGUAAUUAAAAAAUCUUUAAAAUUAAUAUUCUAUGAAAUAUAUUUUAUAACACUAAAUAAAUAUGUUUAUUAAUAAAAACUGUAAUUAGUAUUGCAAGCAAAGCUUUAGAAAGCUGUUUAAUAAAUAUGUUUAGUACAAAAAAUAUUUCACCGUCCUUUGAAAGAAAAAAACUUUAUAAAGCUUUAUGUUACCUAACCGAAUAUGCAAUUUGAGCUUUAGAAAGCUCUAAAUUAAAAAAGUGUAUUUUAAAUGUUUUUUAAUAUUUGUGAAUAAAAAUAAAUAUGUAUAAUAUAUA